rnacentral:lncRNA from 1 species
UUAUUUUUUUGCUUCAUUAGUGUUAUUAAAUUUUAGGAAAAACUUCAAACAAACUCCUUGUGGUUUCGUAGUUUCUCACUUUACCCCCCUGUGGUUUAAAAUGUAUCAAUUUACCUCCUGUAGUUUCGUUUUUAUCUUUUCGAUAGCUUUUUCGUUAAUAUUUCAUUAAAUUAUAUACAAAAAACUUUAGAUACCCAUCUAGAUUUAUCAAAAAUUCACUUUAGUAUCCUUUAAUUUUAACUUUAUCACUGAUUUAAGAAAAAAAAUAAUGAAAUUGAUAAGAAAAGAGAAAAAAGAAACCACGGGGGGCAAAUUGAUACGUUUUAAACCACAGCGGGGCAAAGUGAGAACUACGAAACCAUAGGUGGGGUUUUUGAAGUUUUCCCUAAAUUUUUUAUAUUUAUUAUAAAAUUUAAAUUUUGAAAAAUUUUAUCUGUUUAAUUUGAUUGAAAAUUAAUAUUCUAUAAUUAAGUAUAAUAAAUAAAAAUAAUAUUAUUAUUAAUAUUAAUAUAUUUCAAUAUAAUAAAAUUAAAAAAAUAAUUAAAUAUUUAUGAUGCCUUGCAGAUGUCACUUUUGCAGUGUUGAGUUAUGAUUUUUGACCUGGUAACACUUUCGGAUCGCUAUUUGACUUAGUUUUUGAAAUAUUAUUUUUAUUUUAUAAAAAUAUACAUAACUUGCAUGAAGUGUGGAGCAUUUUGAUUUUGGUUAUUCAGCCUUUUAAAAUUUUUAUUUUACUCUCAAAUCUUUCAAUUUGUUUUGAUUCGAGUCAAUCAAUAAUAGUUUAACUUUAAAAUUUGAAAUGUUAUUUAUAUUUAUAAGUUUAGUUAGAAUACUUUAUGCAAUUCUCACAACUAUAAAUAUAAUAAAUUAAGUAAUUGGCUUGAAUUUUAAAGUUAAAAUGUCGUUAACUGA